CUUCGAUCCCGUUCUGAGUUGCAGAGAGAGAGAGAGAGAGAGAGGCAGAGAACAACACCUAAAACCCUAGCCCUUCCUCCAUUGAUCUCUGUCUUCUUCCUCCUCCAUUGCGGGCAAACGCCGGCAACCGUGACUUCUUUCUUCCUCCUUGUUCUAGCUGGCGCCCGGAUCGUGUGAGAGCAAGAGAAAUUUGUUGCUCAGAAGCUUCAAACUCUCGACCCAACCACCUCCGUCCUCCGCCAUUCAUCACACUGUCGACGGGAGCUGGAGCUUCGCUCGCUGCUGAGAUCCAUCCGCUCUCCCCUACUCCGUUCUUCCUCCUUGCAAAGCUCACUUCUGCUGUGACGUGUUGAGGUGCAGAUCCCGAGUCUUUCCCUCCCCUAUGCAGUCGUGAGCUUUGUCUUCUUCUUUUCUCCGUGCUCGCUGUGAACUACCAUUGUUGAGCUUGGGAGUCGGACGUUUCCCUCCUCCUGUUUCUCUGCCCUGUCUUUGCUGUUUGAUUUAUAUUUUGGCUGAUGCUGAUUCUCCUGCUGAUUCCUAAGGGGCUUUUAGAUGUGCUGGGUGAAGAUUUGAUUGAAAUUCUUUUCUUUUGACGUAAAUAUGAAUACUUAUGUAUUUUAUCUUUGAAAGUAUGGUUAGGUGCUCCAUAUAAGUUAUAAUUAGGAUCCUUAUUUUAUUAUAAACUUAGUUGCUGGUUAGAAGGAGUUGAGCUUCUAGUUGAUUUGAUCUUGUGUGAAUUUUGCAAUUUGGAUUAUUGCUUGGUUGAUGCUUGAGGAAAAUAGAUGUGGAUUUGAAUUUUUCUUGAA